rnacentral:rRNA from 1 species
UGCAAGUCGUACGCUUCUUUUUCCACCGGAGCUUGCUCCACCGGAAAAAGAAGAGUGGCGAACGGGUGAGUAACACGUGGGUAACCUGCCCAUCAGAAGGGGAUAACACUUGGAAACAGGUGCUAAUACCGUAUAACAAUCGAAACCGCAUGGUUUUGAUUUGAAAGGCGCUUUCGGGUGUCGCUGAUGGAUGGACCCGCGGUGCAUUAGCUAGUUGGUGAGGUAACGGCUCACCAAGGCCACGAUGCAUAGCCGACCUGAGAGGGUGAUCGGCCACAUUGGGACUGAGACACGGCCCAAACUCCUACGGGAGGCAGCAGUAGGGAAUCUUCGGCAAUGGACGAAAGUCUGACCGAGCAACGCCGCGUGAGUGAAGAAGGUUUUCGGAUCGUAAAACUCUGUUGUUAGAGAAGAACAAGGAUGAGAGUAACUGUUCAUCCCUUGACGGUAUCUAACCAGAAAGCCACGGCUAACUACGUGCCAGCAGCCGCGGUAAUACGUAGGUGGCAAGCGUUGUCCGGAUUUAUUGGGCGUAAAGCGAGCGCAGGCGGUUUCUUAAGUCUGAUGUGAAAGCCCCCGGCUCAACCGGGGAGGGUCAUUGGAAACUGGGAGACUUGAGUGCAGAAGAGGAGAGUGGAAUUCCAUGUGUAGCGGUGAAAUGCGUAGAUAUAUGGAGGAACACCAGUGGCGAAGGCGGCUCUCUGGUCUGUAACUGACGCUGAGGCUCGAAAGCG